rnacentral:rRNA from 1 species
UACAGAGGUCUCAAGCGUUGUUCGGAUUCAUUGGGCGUAAAGGGUGUGUAGGUGGCGCCGUAAGUCGGGUGUGAAAUUUCGGAGCUUAACUCCGAAACUGCAUUCGAUACUGCGGUGCUUGAGGACUGGAGAGGAGACUGGAAUUUACGGUGUAGCAGUGAAAUGCGUAGAGAUCGUAAGGAAGACCAGUGGCGAAGGCGGGUCUCUGGACAGUUCCUGACACUGAGGCACGAAGGCCAGGGGAGCAAACGGG